rnacentral:lncRNA from 10 species
UGGCUCAAGUUCUGUAUGCUUUACAGAUAUCAUGGUGCUGGCAUUUGCUUGGCUUCUAGGAAGGCUUCAGAAAGCUUACAAUCAUGACAGAAAGUGGAAAGGAGUAGGCAUGUCACAUGGUGAAAGCAGGAGCAAGCAAGAGAGAGAGAGAGUCCAGGGAGAGGUGCCACACACUUCUAAAUGACAAGAUCUCACGAGGACUCACUACCAUGAAGACAACAUCAAGCCAUGAGGGAUCCACCCCCAUGAUCCAAACACCUCCCACUGUCCCUACUUCCAGCAUUGGGGAUUACAAUUCAACAUGAGAUUUGAGCGAGGACAAAUAUCCAAACUGUAUCACUCUGCUCCUGACACCUCCGAAAUCUCAUGUCCUUCUCACAUUGCAUAAUACAACCUGCCUUCCCAACCAUCCCUCCACAUCUUAACUCAUUCCAGCAUUAACUCAAAAGUCCGAAGUCUCAUCUGAGACAAGGCAAAUGCCUUCCACCUAUGAGCCUGUAAAAUCAGAAACAAGUAGUUACUUUCAAAAUACAAUGGAGAAGAGGGGUGCAAUGGCUCACGCCUGUAAUCCCAGCACUUUCACAGGCACUGGGGUAGGACAGUAAACAAAAACAAGUAAAAUCCCUGAACUCUUCUAGCAGACAUCUUCUAGUAGAGAAAGAUGGACUAUGAAGCACAUUUAGCCAAUAACAGAGCAUGUGGAUUGCCAAGAGUACUAUGAGAACAGCAAAGAUGUGAAAGAACAGUGAUGCUUGGACAAGGUGGCCAGCAAAGGUCUCUGUGCAAAGGCAACAUUGGGUUGAGUAAAAUAAUGAGGGAGUGAGAUGAUGGAAUGGCAGCAGCCUGAGAGCCACCUUAUAUCAUCCACAAUUUGGGGGUGCAGAAUUCAUCCAGAGUGGGGGCCAUCCAUUGAUAUUUUUAAAAAUCCUGUGUAGGGUAUUCUAAUGUUUAUUUAGGAAAAACAUGCUUUCAAAGAUAAAGGCUUUGGCUUCAACUCUCAGUCACGGCCAUUGGGUGAAGACGUUGCAUGAACUUAUGCAUUAUAUCUCCCUCUGAUUGACAAGUAAAGAAGACGAAAUAUGGCAAGAGUGGAAACAGGGAGACUAAAUAGGAGGCUACUGCAUGUGGCAUGAGGAGAGGUAGGAGGGUUUUAUUGGAUAUGGUAACAAAUGGUCAGUUGAGCUAAAUGUUAAAGAUGGGGCCCACAGGAUAUCAUUCUUACAUAUAAUGUUCCUAGACCCUAGAACACUAGGUCCACUUCUAUUCAUUUAUUCAAUCAGAUUUCAUCAGGGCUGUUCCUUGUACUCCCCAACAUGGGAGUUUGUUGUAUGCCUGGCCCUUGCAGCCAUCUGAGUUUCCCACGCUCUCUAGGUGCCGUGACGGCUCCAUAGUGAAGUGCUUCUUUCUCUGUGUUAUGACAACACCUUCACGCCUUGAUACACCAGGAACCAUAUUCUCAUUUUAUUGUUUUCAUGUGUAUCUCUCUAGAUUAUAUGUUGUUCACCUUCAUAUCCUUGGAGUCUACCACAGAGCCCUGCAAUUAGUAGGUGUUAGGUCAUUGAUGAAUGCAUGAUGAAAUGAAUAAAUGAAAGAAUCAACAAAUGAAUGAAUAAACAAAUAAAUGGAUUCUUUGUACUAGAGUCUCAUAGCAAAAACCAGAAAACAGAAAACAAAUUCGUGCACAAUGUGGAACAGUCAUCUCUUUGUUAAUUAAACAUUUCCUAAGCCUCCUAAACUAACAUAGCUGUA